rnacentral:siRNA from 1 species
UAAAAUGUUUUUGUGUGUGUC